UGAAAACCAACUCUAGUCACCUGAAGCAAGAGAAGGCUUUGAUUUCCAUCGUGAGGAGAGGUACAGGUGAAUGUAGGAGCUUCAGGGACGCCCUAAGAAAGGUGUAAAGAUGGACACUCCUAGGAAAACUGAAGUGUAUUCUGGCACAAGCAGGGUUCUCCUCCUGCCCCACUGUCUGGAAGAUUUCACAUUCCAGGCACCUCAUCUUCCUCACCCAACAACGAUGUUUUGUGUCUUGAUCCCAGUUGAAGAGCCUGGCACACAAACAGCCUAGGCUAUUCAUUCCUGGAGCAAUUUUACAUACACAAGACGGAAGCCAAGACUGAUGUCUUCAUCCCAGACGUACUCGUUCACACACAUUCUGGGUGAACGAGUCAUGCUCAGGGGUCAGAACAGGAAGUGGCUACUGUUGGACGAAAGAUUCUGCAGGAAAAGAUGAAAAAUGCUUCAUGUCUCUGGGAGUGGAGAAAGAGAAAAGAGGCCAGUGUCGUCUGCAGCUGUCACGGUGAAAAGUUCCAGUUCUGGAAGCUGGAAGUCCAGGAUCAAGGUGCCAGCAGAUUCGGUGUCUGUACUUGUGAAAUAAUACACUCGGGAGAAGAAAACGCACACACGCGGCUCAACAGCUCGCCCCAGCGUGACGGGACGUGGGCGCCGACAGAGAAGCGCCCCGUGACGUUCGUGUCCUGGACCGCAAAGGAGGCCGACAGGUUCUCGGGCUUGGCCUGCACUUUGGAAUGAAUGUGACCUGGAGCAGCGGGAAGAGGAAGGCCGGGUCAGGGGAUGGAGAGCAUGAGCGGGGCCCUGGGCAGCAGGUACGUCCCGUGGGGUUCGGGCGGCCGCCUCGGGAGCACGGGGUCCGACGGUCGCCCUGGCACCCUGUGCGGAGGCAGCCUCAGGCCGGCGCCUUCGUGCCACAUGCUUCCGCUCCCUUGGGCGCUAUGUUGAGAGUCCUGCUUUGGAGGUGGGAGACGGAGGAAGAAUUUUGUGAUCUGGCGGGACCUGGCCACUUAGAGAACAGGAGAGACUGCGGUGAGACGGGUGAAUAUUCAAGGUACUACACGAGUCGUCAGAAGUUACUAGAAGGCGCUCAGGGGUCUGCAUCUGGGAAUAGCUGCCCCCGUUGUAGGAGAGGCUUGGGAAGGUAAAGACGGGGCGUUCGGAAAGCGUGUGGAGGUAACGCCCACGGCAGAGGGCCAGGAUAAAAGUGAAAUCAUUGACAUAAAGUGCGCCAGAGCACAAGUGGUACACAGACCCUUGGCUUCAUUUGUAAAGGGCUGUUACGCCAGCAAAGGCCGUCUCGCCAAAGCUGUUGCAAUGAGGAAGUGAUGCGUGCCGUCAUACGUAUGUUACCUCCCAACUGGGCCGGCACGCUGCAGUUUAGAAAGGGCGAUACUUUGGGUUUGUAGGCGCUUGUGAAAUGCGGUCCGGAAAUGUGUAGAAUUGCCAGCAUCACAGCCGCAACCUUGGAAGUUCGCGUGAAACGUACCUGCGUCGCCGGGGCAGCUGACGUGCUUGUGGCUUUUGCCCUUCAGAGCGGAGCACGGCGGGGUCGUAAAGAAAACGGUUUCUGCUUUCAAGCGGCCCUUUGGCCGUGUGGGUUGGACGGUCACCUUAUAUUUGCAGGAAAAUGACAGAUCUUGAAGAAUCAUGUAAUUUUCCUAGAGAGAGAGAGAAUAUGCGAACAGUCACUCUCACGAGGGUACGAAAUUGGCAGGAGAGGAAAUCCUACCUCCACCAAGGCUGUCUUCCUAUAUAUGGGACGUGUGCAACACGGCUUUCAUAACAAGUGCAAAGGAGACAGGGGCCCUGCUUUCAUUUAUUACAGCUGUGAGAGGCUCCCAUGGGGUGGGACACAGGCUCCAGAACCCAACAGGAUGGCAGCGCUUUCACGUCAAAGCAGCCGACUUGCAGCCCUCGUGACCAG